rnacentral:rRNA from 1 species
GAUUCUGGCUCAGGAUGAACGCUGGCGGCGUGCCUAAUACAUGCAAGUGAAACGGGUAUCUUCGGAUACCAGUCGCGGACGGGUGAGUAAUACAUAGGCAACCUGCCUUUAUGAGGGGGAUAACCGAGGGAAACUUUGGCUAAUACCGCAUGAAGACUCUAAGGCAUCUUAGAGGGAUAAAAGUUGGGAAACAACGCAUGAAGAUGGGCUUAUGGCGCAUUAGCUAGUUGGUGAGAUAGAAGCCCACCAAGGUAAUGAUGCGUAGCCGACCUGAGAGGGUGAACGGCCACAUUGGGACUGAGACACGGCCCAAACUCCUACGGGAGGCAGCAGUAGGGAAUUUUCGGCAAUGGGGGGAACCCUGACCGAGCAACGCCGCGUGAAGGAAGAAGGUUUUCGGAUUGUAAACUUCUGUUAUAAGGGAAGAACGGAUUGGAUAGGGAAUGAUCUGAUAGUGACGGUACCUUAUUAGAAAGCCACGGCUAACUACGUGCCAGCCGCCGC